rnacentral:rRNA from 1 species
AACGAACGCUGGCGGCGCGCCUAAUACAUGCAAGUCGAGCGAGAAGACGUAGCAAUACGUUUGUAAAGCGGCGAACGGGUGAGGAAUACAUGGGUAACCUACCCUCGAGUGGGGAAUAACUAGCCGAAAGGUUAGCUAAUACCGCGUACGCUCCUUGGACUUCGGUUCAGGGAGGAAAGCGAUACCGUGGGUAUCGCGCUCUUGGAUGGGCUCAUGUCCUAUCAGCUUGUUGGGAGGUAACGGCUCACCAAGGCUUCGACGGGUAGCUGGUCUGAGAGGACGAUCAGCCACACUGGCACUGCGACACGGGCCAGACUCCUACGGGAGGCAGCAGUAAGGAAUAUUGCGCAAUGGGCGAAAGCCUGACGCAGCGACGCCGCGUGGGGGAUGAA